rnacentral:piRNA from 1 species
CGGCGGCGUACACGCCCGGGUCGGGC